rnacentral:rRNA from 1 species
AUUGAACGCUGGCGGCAGGCCUAACACAUGCAAGUCGAGCGGAUGAAGGGAGCUUGCUCCUGGAUUCAGCGGCGGACGGGUGAGUAAUGCCUAGGAAUCUGCCUGGUAGUGGGGGAUAACGUCCGGAAACGGGCGCUAAUACUGCAUACGUCCUGAGGGAGAAAGUGGGGGAUCUUCGGACCUCACGCUAUCAGAUGAGCCUAGGUCGGAUUAGCUAGUUGGUGGGGUAAAGGCCUACCAAGGCGACGAUCCGUAACUGGUCUGAGAGGAUGAUCAGUCACACUGGAACUGAGACACGGUCCAGACUCCUACGGGAGGCAGCAGUGGGGAAUAUUGGACGAUGGGCGAAAGCCUGAUCCAGCCAUGCCGCGUGUGUGAAGAAGGUCUUCGGAUUGUAAAGCACUUUAAGUUGGGAGGAAGGGCAGUAAGUUAAUACCUUGCUGUAUUGACGUUACCAACAGAAUAAGCACCGGCUAACUUCGUG